GGUUCCAUGGUCUAGUGGUUAUGAUUUCUGUCUUACACACAGAAGGUCUCCGGUUCGAACCCGGGUGGAGCCA
rnacentral:tRNA from 1 species